UACGAAGGGUGCUAGCGUUGUUCGGAAUUACUGGGCGUAAAGCGCGCGUAGGCGGUUAUUCAAGUCAGGGGUGAAAUCCUUGGGCUCAACCCAAGAAUUGCCUUUGAAACUGUAUAGCUAGAGUGUCGGAGGGGAUAGCGCAAUUCCUAAUGUAGAGGUGAAAUUCGUAGAUAUUAGGAGGAACACCGGUGGCGAAGGCGGCUAUCUGGACGACAACUGACGCUGAGGCGCGAAAGCACGGGGAUCAAACAGG
rnacentral:rRNA from 1 species